UAGCCCAGUUGUACAGGGAGUUGACCGAUU
rnacentral:piRNA from 1 species